GCCAGCGUAGUGUAGUGGCUUGAGUAUUAGAUUACGACUCUGGAGACCAGGGUUUGAAUCUCUACUCUUGGCA